AGAAUCAACGCUGGCGGCGUGCCUAACACAUGCAAGUCGAACGAGAAAGUGGAGCAAUCCAUGAGUAAAGUGGCGCACGGGUGAGUAACACGUGACUAACCUACCCUUGAGUGGGGGAUAACCUAGAGAAAUCUGGGCUAAUACCGCAUAAUACCUUCGGGUCAAAGGAGCAAUUCGCUUAAGGAGGGGGUCGCGGCCGAUUAGUUAGUUGGCGGGGUAAUGGCCCACCAAGACUGUGAUCGGUAUCCGGCCUGAGAGGGCGCACGGACACACUGGAACUGAAACACGGUCCAGACUCCUACGGGAGGCAGCAGUGGGGAAUUUGCGCAAUGGGGGAAACCCUGACGCAGCAACGCCGCGUGGAGGAUGAAGCCCCUUGGGCGUAAACUCCUUUCGAUCGGGAAGAUAAUGACGGUACCGAGAGAAGAAGCCCCGGCUAACUUCGCGCCAGCAGCCGC
rnacentral:rRNA from 1 species